ACCUGAUCCAGCAACGCCGCGUGAGGGAUGACGGCCUUCGGGUUGUAAACCUCUUUCAGUACCGACGAAGCGCCGAUGAUGGUGGUGACGGUAGGUACAGAAGAAGCACCGGCCAACUACGUGCCAGCAGCCGCGGUAAUACGUAGGGUGCGAGCGUCGUCCGGAAUUAUUGGGCGUAAAGGGCUCGUAGGCGGUUUGUCGCGUCGGGAGUGAAAACACCGGGCUUAACUCGGUGCUUGCUUCCGAUACGGGCAGACUAGAGGCAUGCAGGGGAGAACGGAAUUCCUGGUGUAGCGGUGAAAUGCGCAGAUAUCAGGAGGAACACCGGUGGCGAAGGCGGUUCUCUGGGCAUGUCCUGACGCUGAGGAGCGAAAGUGUGGGGAGCGAACAGGAUUAGAUACCCUGGUAGUCCACACCGUAAACGUUGGGCGCUAGGUGUGGGACCUAUUCCAUGGGUUCCGUGCCGCAGCUAACGCAUUAAGCGCCCCGCCUGGGGAGUACGGCCGCAAGGCUA
rnacentral:rRNA from 1 species